rnacentral:rRNA from 1 species
GGGUUGUGAGGUUAAGCGACUAAGCGUACACGGUGGAUGCCCUGGCAGUCAGAGGCGAUGAAGGGCGUACUAAUCUGCGAUAAGCGCCGGUAAGGUGAUAUGAACCGUUAUAACCGGCGAUACCCGAAUGGGGAAACCCAGUGUGAUUCGUCACACUAUCAUUAACUGAAUCCAUAGGUUAAUGAGGCGAACCGGGGGAACUGAAACAUCUAAGUACCCCGAGGAAAAGAAAUCAACCGAGAUUCCCCCAGUAGCGGCGAGCGAACGGGGAGGAGCCCAGAGCCUGAAUCAGCAUGUGUGUUAGUGGAAGCGUCUGGAAAGGCGCGCGAUACAGGGUGACAGCCCCGUACACAAAAGCGCAUGUGCUGUGAGCUCGAUGAGUAGGGCGGGACACGUGGUAUCCUGUCUGAAUAUGGGGGGACCAUCCUCCAAGGCUAAAUACUCCUGACUGACCGAUAGUGAACCAGUACCGUGAGGGAAAGGCGAAAAGAACCCCGGCGAGGGGAGUGAAAAAGAACCUGAAACCGUGUACGUACAAGCAGUGGGAGCACCCUUUGGGUGUGACUGCGUACCUUUUGUAUAAUGGGUCAGCGACUUAUAUUCUGUAGCAAGGUUAACCGAAUAGGGGAGCCGGAGGGAAACCGAGUCUUAACCGGGCGUUAAGUUGCAGGGUAUAGACCCGAAACCCGGUGAUCUAGCCAUGGGCAGGUUGAAGGUUGGGUAACACUAACUGGAGGACCGAACCGACUAAUGUUGAAAAAUUAGCGGAUGACCUGUGGCUGGGGGUGAAAGGCCAAUCAAACCGGGAGAUAGCUGGUUCUCCCCGAAAGCUAUUUAGGUAGCGCCUCGUGAAUUCAUCUCCGGGGGUAGAGCACUGUUUCGGCUAGGGGGCCAUCCCGGCUUACCAACCCGAUGCAAACUGCGAAUACCGGAGAAUGUUAUCACGGGAGACACACGGCGGGUGCUAACGUCCGUCGUGAAGAGGGAAACAACCCAGACCGCCAGCUAAGGUCCCAAAGUCAUGGUUAAGUGGGAAACGAUGUGGGAAGGCCCAGACAGCCAGGAUGUUGGCUUAGAAGCAGCCAUCAUUUAAAGAAAGCGUAAUAGCUCACUGGUCGAGUCGGCCUGCGCGGAAGAUGUAACGGGGCUAAACCAUGCACCGAAGCUGCGGCAGCGACACUGUGU